rnacentral:tRNA from 1 species
UCCCAGGAGGUUCAGUGGUAAAGAACCUACCUGCCAAGCAGGAGACGUGGGUUCGAUCCCCAUGUAGGGAA